UUACACCAUUUUCUCCCAUGAAACAUUCUGAUUUGGUUUUAAGUCAAUAAGUAAAAGAGAGCCAAAGCCUGCUGUGGGUGAAGGUCAACUCAAACCUUCUGAGGAUCACGUAUCGAUACACAGACACACUAAGAAUCACGGGAAAGCAACAGCAGUACCUGUGUAGCCCAGAGAGUUGUCAUCCUCGAGCUCAGUGGUGGGAGCUGGUGUUGCCCCUUGGCUCGUUCCAUCCUGAGCGACUCCGGUCUCUGUCAACAAUAACACCACAGGGACUGAGAACCCAGACGCAUUCUGCCCACUUUCCCCCCCACCCAUGGUCCAAACCUGCAGCCCUCUGCAUCCCUGACACAUGCAGAGAAUGAACACACAAAGAAGAGUCCAUCUUUGAGUGCUGAAUCCAAACAUUGUACAACAAUCCAGAUAGUUGUGUACAAUCCAAGUGAGUCUGAUGAGUAAAAAGUAAUCAUCUAA